AGUUUCUACAUAAGAAUCACAUUAUUCACAGAGAUCUGAAACCCGCCAAUAUAUUUCUUACAGAAGAUCAAACUAUAAAGGUUGGAGAUUUUGGAAUAUCGCGGUCCUUGGAAAGUACAUUGGCAAAAGCCCAAACCUACAUUGGAACGCCGCUUUAUAUGGCACCCGAAAUUCUAAAUUAUCAAGAAUAUAGCAAUAAGGCUGAUGUGUGGAGUUUUGGUUGUAUAUUUUAUGAACUUAUGUGCUUGAAGUACCCAUUUAAACUUACAACCAAAGAAGAAGAAAAUAUUCUAGAAAAUAU